GUGACAGUGUGAGACUCCGUCUCAAAAAACAAAACAAAACAAACAGUUUUAUUUGAAUGUUAUCAGUAUUGUGUUGUGGCUAAGAAAAAGGGCUCUAGAUUUAGACUCCCUGUGUUUAAAUUUCAUCUCUUCCAUCUUGCUCACCUAUAAAAUGGACAUCAUAAUGUCUACAUCAUAGGAGAGUUGUGAGCAUUCAUUGUUAGUCUGUGUAGUAUUUAGAUAGCGCCUGGAGUAGAACAAGUGUUAGUGAUGAUGUUGAUAAUGACUGUGAUGAUGGUGGUAAUGAUGAUGGAGAGAGGGAAGUGUGUACUGACUAGAUAGGAUUGAAGGCAAAAAAGCCUCCCAGCUUUCACUACCCCAGCCCUACCCCAAGCAGUUCAGCUUUGGCCCCAACCCUACAGAGUCUACUCAGGAAAACAAAAGCCAAGUAGUUAAUCUGACCUGUCUUCCUAGGAAGGCAGUUUGGUGACUAUGUUAUUAGAGAGUAUAUCCUUUAGAGGUGUCAUUGCUUUCCCAAGUGGGCUAUCCAAGUAUUCCAUUCAGUCAUAUAUGGUAAGCCCCUCUAGAGGAGUUUUUGGUAAAUACAUUUUUCUCUAUUGAUAUGGUUUGGCUGUGUCCCCACACAAAUCUCAUCUUGAAUUGUAGCUCCCAUAACUGCCACAUAUUAUGGGAGGGACUCAGCAGAAUAUAAUUGAAUCAUGGGGGAGGUUUCCCCCAUACUGUUCCUGUGGUAGUGAAGAAGUCUCAUGAAAUCUGAUGGUUUUAUAAGGGGAAACCCCUUUCAUUUGGCUCUCAUUUCUCUCUUUGCCUGCUGCCUUCCAUGUAAGACAUGACUUGCUUCUUCUUGCCUUCUGUCAUAAUUGUGAGGCCUCCCCAGCCAUGUGGAACUGUGAGUCUAUUAAUCCUCUUUCCUUUAUAAAUUACCCAGUCUCAGGUAUGUCUUUAUUAUCAGCCUGAGAACAGACUAAUGCAUCUAUUUUAUUGCAUUUACAUGGAUAUUUUACCAACUGGUGAUGCCUGAUGACCCAGAGAGCUGCCCUGGAUGAAUAGCCCCCACAGUGCAACUCAAUUCUGACAAUGCCAUAGUUUCUUUCAAUGGCUCUUCUCUGUUUGACUUCCUCUAAAUGCCUUUUUACUUCUAAAUAUUGAUGUUUACUAGAAUGUCAUUGUUGGCUCUUUUGUCUGCUUAUCUAAUUUGGUGGUGCUCUAGACAGUCCAUGUUGAAGUUUCAAGUGGCCCAUGUAUCCCUGAAAUUACAUGCAAGACUGGGUAUAUAUGUGCAUUUUUCCAGGAGAGGACCCGUGUUUUCAUCCAUAUUCUCAAAGGCAGCUCAAAAAUGAAGAACCAAGCUAAUCCAAGUUAUUCAUUUUCAUAAGCCUUUGGGGUCUUUGCCAGUCCUAUUCUGUAGACUGGAUGAGUUAAUCUCUUCCUUUUGGUGAGAUGAAUAACUUUCUAAAUCUAUAUGAAAUAAAAGAUAUCCCCCCUUUGGGUAGAAACAUGUCAAUACUUCCUGUGUAACCCUUUAAACCUUCUCCUGGCCAUGGCAAGCCUGACUUUUAUAUUCAAGUAGUAUACGUAUGUGAUUAACUGUACACAUUUCUGUUUAUCUAGCAGGAUUAUAUAAUUCUUGUGUGGCAUAACUAAAUUUUGUUCAUUUUUACAUCCCUCAGUGCCUAGUCCAGUGCUUGGGACAUGGUAGGUGCUCUGUAAACACUGAUUGGAGGCCUGACUGCAUUUUAUAUUCCUCAAUUAAUGAUGAAGCAAUAUAGCCAGAUCAUGCUGCAUUUAUAAGUAUUUAGCAGACAAUAUUACCAGGGUAGAUUAUGAAUACGUAUAGCAAAAACGCUAUUGAGACAGAAAUUCCUAAGGGAAAUAUAUAAAAUCACCCUAUUUCUUUCACAGAAAAAAAAAUACAAAAUCAGGUUUUUCCACCAUUAUUAGGCUCCAAUAAAUAUUCAUCCUUUAUCCCUCCAGGGGAUCCCAAGCUUCCUGCAAGGGAAAUGAGUGCUAAAUGUGCCCAGUAAAUCACUCUGUUUGUUUUCACCCUGUAGACAGAAUGGCGAUCUUAGUUGAUUUUUUUCUUCCGACAGCCUAACGAUUCAAAUAACUUAAGAUUUUUAAUCCCCAAGACUAGAGGAGGACAUGGUAAAAUUGUUCAUCCACCGCUUCCUGUUUAGAAAAAAACUGCCCAUGAGGAAGGUAAUAGCCACCUCUUGGGAGCAAAAAGCCCCACAACCUCCCAAAAGGGCAAAGCCCAGCUCUCUGAACUAACAAUGCUGCCACCGCUCCCAACAAGGAAAUUGCAAAUCACUGCAGGGUGGAAGCUGGGCCUGCUUAACGCACCCUGAGGUCCUGGUUCCCAUAAUAAGUAUUUUAAGUUAGGGGAGGCGUCAAUCUCAAUGACCAAAGUGCUAGAUGAGUAAAGGUUGAUCCUAAUGAGGUUGCAGGCAGAGCUUCCAUUCCUCCAAUUGACUCUCCUCUCUCUCCACUCCUAGCAGCACCCCUGACCCCAUCUCAACAGUGGCCCCGGGGAAGACUGGGUUAGGGAAUACACUUGACUUGGUACAAAUCCACUGUGGCCCAGCAAACAGUAUGCAAACCAUACCCUACUUACUGUGUAUGGAGGACAGAACAAUCGAGAGUGCCAAUGUAAAAAAUGAUGCUGCAGGCAUGACAGUGGGCCCCCGUGUGUCCUUUUCCUUAAGGGUAAUUAACUGUUCGGAUUCAUACCUAAAAAUAGGCACGCUACUGAAACAAGUUGUUGAUGACCUAAGACAAGGCCAACCUGCCUGGCUCAGAGAUACCUGAGUGUGUCCAUCUUUUCAGGUAAAUUAACAUGACUGGCAUUGGGAUUUCAGCUUAAAAGGCAGAGAGUUGGAGCAGUCUACAGUGUUAUACAAUUUGUGCGUGACUGGCAGCAGGUGGAGAGUAAAUAAUAUCUGCAAAAGAAGAAACUGCAGGCAUUUGAAUCAAGUGGCAGCAAGCUUACCACUUAGGCAUGUUGUUAAUAAAAUACGUUGGUGUGAUUUGGUUAAGUCCCUCCACCCCACCACCUUAUUUUUUUUUUAACUUAAAUCAAUUUCUUAGAGCUAAAAGGCAUGCAGCUUAGCAAAAACAGCAGGAAAUUGCUUUAGAAUGCUUAUACUUCAUUUCAGGGAAUUUUUUUUUUAAUCUGAAGUAAAUAAGCCAUAUAGUUCUUCCCUGCCAUAACAAAACAUACAAUGACCCCAUCUGUGAUGAGGCAGAACCAGGGUUGCCUUGCCUGGGGGAAAGUUUAGAAAUUUCUGAGAAAAACCCAUAAAUUGAAGUUGUAAGCUGUGAGGUGGAAGCCUUGCAAAUGAUUUGCAGUUUACAGCAGUUACUCAAAGCAGUCAGAUUCUAACUGGGGGUCAAGAGAGCGUCCAUGUUUUACAGAUGGAUAAACUGAGGCAUAGAGCUUAAAGACCGGCUCUUUAGAGUUUAAAGCCAUGCCAUGUCACUGAUAGAGACUCCUUCCUGGGAGGAAAAAGACAAAAGACCUCUCUCCAGCAGAGGCUAGUAUAACCUCAGAGAAAUCUAUCUGAAGAUAUGAAAGCAUCACUAACAACCAAAAAAUAAAAGAUCUAGAAGGCUGUGGUGGGAGGAUCACUUGAAACUAGGAGUUUAAUACCAGCCAGAGAAACAGAGAGAACCUGUCUCUACAAAAAAUACAAAACAUUAGAUGGCCAAGGGUGGCAAGUGCCUGUAGUCCUAUCUACUCAAGAGGCUGAGGUGGGAAGAUCACUUGAGCCCAGGAGUUCAAGGUCACGGUGAGCUACAGUUGAGCCACUGCACUGUAGCCGGGAUGACAGAGAGAGAUACUGUCUCAAAAAAACAAAACAAACAAAAACAAACAAACAAAACUAGAAUGUAGGUAGGAAUCAGGAUAACUGGGAAGCAAAUUAACCUCGACCUGGGACUUCUUUAAAUGAGUUUGCACAGCUGUCUCAAUCCAUGUAAAUCUCUUGUUAUAUAAACCCACUCACUUGAUCAACAGAAACAGAGGGAGUCCAGAUGUUAGCGGAUAGAGCUCUCAUGCACCCAGCUUCCCUAGCUUGGAAUACGCCAGCACUGUCUAAAAUGAAGCUAAGCAAAACCCAAACAAAACCAACACCCAAACACCAAAAGCAAACCCAAACAAAAUCCCAACCAAACAAGUUACAAACAACUAAGGAUAUUUUCUAAACCCAUUGACUGACUCAUGACUUUCUGGUCUCCCUGGCUCAGAUUUCUGAGAGCUUUAAAAAAUUGUGCCAAACAAGGAAGUACCAUUGCUUAAUUAGGUCUUGCCAAUUAUUUUGCCUGAUUUUACUUUUUUUCUACCUCCCUGCUCCAUUCCAGUGACAUAGUAGGCUUCCCUCGACUUUCUACAUCAGCACACUGUAUCAGGUAGUGGACUUCCUGGACAAGCUCUAUACCACCUUUGGGAAAAAUUAUAGACCAUUAUGAUGUCUACAACAUGGAGACGAUGGGAAAUGCUUGUGACUAUUGAUGUAUGGGUGGGUAUUUUAGACAUGGAAUAAUAUUAAUUUUUAGUGGAGACAAAGCUUGGAAUUAAUGGAAAGUAACCAUUUAUGUAAACAUUCGAACUUUCUUAAGUUGUAAGCUCCUAGAAAGCAAAUCUUCUUAGUAGUCUCAAUUGUGCCUAUGGCUUUUCUCAUUGUUGUCCCCGAGGAAAUGUCUACUGCUUUGAUUUGAGAGCCAUCCUUUUCAAUAAUAAGGGAAACAAACUGGUUUUAUAUUUUUACUUUUGUGGUCAGACUUUCCGGCACUUAGCUCAAUGAUCUCCAACCUUUUACUGACAUAGGUAUUUUCCUUUCCUCAUGGCCAGUGAGGAAAGGCGGUGAAUUUUGAAAGACACACAGAACAAAUAUUUAGAUAAAAUUAUAAUAUCAAUAAUCAUUACCGACUGUAAUUUCAUUUUUAAUUGUAUAAAUUGAGAAGGGAACAAUGAAAUGUUUUGUUAGCCAUCAGGCAAACUGAAAAUAGAUUUAGAAAGUAUUUAAGAUUCAUUUUUUCAAUGCACAGUAAUUGAGAAACCUGUAUGUGCCAGGCACUGUGUUAGCACUGGAGCUCUAAAGGGCAGAAGGCUGAAUGUGAUAGAUGGAUCUCUACCUUCAGGGUGCAGUCUAGUAACACAUAGAAGGACUGAGACCAAUAGCCAUGUUGAAGAGGAGACGAUGGUUCUCCCAUCACCUUCAUUACUCCACCUGCUGCUCAUGAAGGUUGCUGCGGGAUGUGCUGAUUAACUUGUGUUUUGGUCGAAAUCUGAAGUGAUGCUGAAUCUUCGUCCUUUAAUGUUGUCUGUUUUAUUGUUGAACAAUUUUAUCAUGCAUCGUGUGAACUUUUAUGCUUAUGGUGUGUAUCAUCACAGCACUGGACAAUAAUGACUCACACAGUAGAAUAACAUAACUGUAUACUUGCAUCAAGGGUAGUUAAAACAUGGUAAGGUUUUCUCAUGUCUUUAUUAAUAAUGAUUAAAAAAUUAAUUAUUCACCUCUGA